rnacentral:rRNA from 1 species
AGUGAACGCUGGCGGUAGGCCUAGCACAUGCAAGUCGAACGGCAGCACAGUAAGAGCUUGCUCUUACGGGUGGCGAGUGGCGGACGGGUGAGGAAUACAUCGGAAUCUACUUUUUCGUGGGGGAUAACGUAGGGAAACUUACGCUAAUACCGCAUACGACCUACGGGUGAAAGCAGGGGAUCUUCGGACCUUGCGCGAUUGAAUGAGCCGAUGUCGGAUUAGCUAGUUGGCGGGGUAAAGGCCCACCAAGGCGACGAUCCGUAGCUGGUCUGAGAGGAUGAUCAGCCACACUAGAACUGAGACACGGUCCAGACUCCUACGGGAGGCAGCAGUGGGGAAUAUUGGACAAUGGGCGCAAGCCUGAUCCAGCCAUACCGCGUGGGUGAAGAAGGCCUUCGGGUUGUAAAGCCCUUUUGUUGGGAAAGAAAAGCAGCAGGUUAAUACCCCGCUGUUCUGACGGUACCCAAAGAAUAAGCACCGGCUAACUUCGUG